rnacentral:rRNA from 1 species
AAUUGUUCACAAUGGGCGCAAGCCUGAUGACGCAACGCCGCGUGGAGGAUGAAGGUCUUCGGAUUGUAAACUCCUGUUGCCCGGGACGAAAAGCUUCGACCUAAUACGUCGAAGUCUGACGGUACCGGGUGAGGAAGCCCCGGCUAACUCUGUGCCAGCAGCCGCGGUAAUACGAAGGGGGCUAGCGUUGCUCGGAAUCACUGGGCGUAAAGCGCACGUAGGCGGAUCUUUAAGUCAGGGGUGAAAUCCUGGAGCUCAACUCCAGAACUGCCUUUGAUACUGGGGAUCUCGAGUCCGGAAGAGGUGAGUGGAACUCCGAGUGUAGAGGUGAAAUUCGUAGAUAUUCGGAAGAACACCAGUGGCGAAGGCGGCUCACUGGUCCGGUACUGACGCUGAGGUGCGAAAGCGUGGGGAGCAAAC